UCGCAGCUACCGUACUUUCAAAAAUCACAAAAUACUAACAUUUGACUAGGAGCUCCUAGGGAUGCAAGAUAAAUUGAUGAAAUCAAAAAAGAGAAACAUCACUGUAAACGUUUUCAAAAUCACAAGGAAAAGCAAUUAGAAAUUUCUAGAGCAUCAAAAACUAUGAUAAGGAUCUUUUGAUAACAAUAGUGACCCCCGCAAAUGGGGGAAAUUCAACGAAAUUCGUUGAAAUUUAAAGAGCAAGAGGUAAAUACUUGGGUAUAACUUGGGCCACAUAUUAAAAUGUUAAUUUUUUUAGUUAAAUAAAAUUUUCCAAGCCAAAAAAAAAAAAAAAA
ensembl:ncRNA F53F10.7 ncRNA